CGGGCUGGAAUUCAGGGACGGGAGAUCCCCGAGCCGCCUCCACCGACCCCGCCCCGGGGCCGCUCACGUCGGUUCCGGGGCGGAUUACCCCUCACCAAACGGCGCGGCACUGCGGCUUCGGGAGCCGGGAGAGGGGGAGGGGUCGGAGGCCACGGGUCCAGAAACCGUUACUGGGAAGGCAAGUGGGCUGCGGCAGCCCUGCGCUGGGCGGGGCGGGGAUGCUCGAAUCCGAGACCCGCGUGGGAGUUGAGGGGCGCGAGGCUGGCGUCCUGGGCUAGAGAAAGCCGGCUGAGCAGGGGCCCGGGGAAGGGCGCUCCAGCCGGGGGCGCGGUAACCGCUGCUGCCCGGCUAUUGCUCCGGGCCCUCUCAGAGCCUUCUCCCUCAAGGGCACUCUCAUGGAUCCACCAGAGCCCUAAAAAGCGAAGCCUCUGGAACCUAUAUCCUCCCUCUGUCCGUCUCGCCCCAGAAUCUUCCCCUCGUCCUCCUCGCCCCCUCCCUCCUGCAGAUAUUUCUCUUACCACCUGAGCAGCUGAGCAGUUUCCCCACAAUACUGAGAAGAAUAGAGCUAUGAAGCCAGAAACAUACAAGGACAUUCUGCUAGAGCUUGGUUUCAACCAGGGAAGAAUCGAGACCUUAGAAGGAAUAGACAAAGCAGUUUGGAACAGAAACUGUACUUGUGUUAAUGGUGGAAACGGCACAGAAUGUAAAACCAACCUACCGUCAUUCCUCUGAAACACCAAAAUAAGUAACAGUCCUUCGUUUUGGAGGGUUGUGUUGUUAAUUCCAUAAUAACACUUACAGUGUCAUUACUGCCAUUCUGCAGGGCGCCACCUGCCUUUGCCCUUGACACAUUUGCUUACAACAUGAUCUAUUCUGUGGCC